rnacentral:tRNA from 1 species
GGAGGGAUGGCCGAGCGGUUGAUGGCAGCGGUCUUGAAAACCGCCGUACGGGAAACCGUAUCGUGGGUUCGAAUCCCACUCCCUCCGCCA